rnacentral:miRNA from 1 species
UUCGUCAACUCAAAAUUCUUGAGCAUAAAAGCUUGUCUGAAACUCCCCUAAACUCAUAUUAUGGCUUAAAAUUAGUCAUUUGGGUUUAGGGUUUUUCAAAAAUUGGGAUUAGAGGUUGAAUUUCAAGUCCUAAUAUGAAAUGGGGAGAAUUUCAAACAAGCUUUUACGCUCAAGGAUUUUGGGUUGACAAA